AAGGGUACGUAGGCGGUACAUUAAGUCAGUGGUGAAAUUCUGCAGCUCAACUGUAGGCGUGCCAUUGAUACUGGUGUACUUGAGUGUUGUAAGGGUGGGCGGAAUUCCGCAUGUAGCGGUGAAAUGCAUAGAUAUGCGGAGGAACACCGAAAGCGAAGGCAGCUCACUAGGCAACAACUGACGCUGAGGUACGAAAGCGUGGGGAGCGAACAGGAUUAGAUACCC
rnacentral:rRNA from 14 species